UUCUCCAGCCCUGGGACCACCUCCAUGGUGCAGUGCUGCUCCUGCGUGGAGAGGUGCUGGAGGAGAGCAGGAGUUCACUCAAAUCUGCAUCCCCUGGCACACCCACACUGGCUCCACAGCAAAGUGCCACAGGGACACAUUGAGACACGGGGAAAAACAGCCAGGAGGAGGAUUCAGCAGCAGGCACGAGCUGGAGGCUUCCUGGACACAUGGUGAGGCUGGGCAGGGGCAGGAGCUGCUGCUGCAUGGGCAGAGAACCACGGAUGGAGGCUGGAGGCACCCGUGGCUCCCCGGGCCAGGGGGGAGGCUCAGCUCCACCAGGUUGUCUUCUUCUGACAGUCUGAGGAGGAGAAACACUGGAGACACGAGGAAACAACAGAAGGAAAUCCUGCUUUUAGUGGGAAAGUAAACUCCACCUUAACUGCAAAGCCACCAGCAAUGACUCCACAAUAUAAGAAAUAUAAUAAUUAUGAUAAUUAAUAAAGAUAAUAAUACAGUCAAA